rnacentral:rRNA from 1 species
GACGAACGCUGGCGGCGUGCUUAACACAUGCAAGUCGAACGGAAAGGCCCUGCUUUUGUGGGGUGCUCGAGUGGCGAACGGGUGAGUAACCCGUGAGUAACCUGCCCUUGACUUUGGGAUAACUUCAGGCAACUGGGGCUAAUACCGGCUAGGAGCUCCUGCUGCAUGGUGGGGGUUGGAACGUUUCGGCGGUUGGGGAUGGACUCGCGGUUUAUCAGCUUGUUGGUGGGGUAGUGGCUUACCAAGGCUUUGACGGGUAGCCGGCAUGAGAGGGUGAACGGCGACAUUGGGACUGAGAUACGGACCAGACGGCUAUGGGAGGCAGCAGUGGGGAAUAUUGCACAAUGGGCGGAAGCCUGAUGCAGCAACGCCGCGAGCGGGAUGACGGCCUUCGGGUUGUAAACCGCUUUCGCCUGUGACGAAGCGUGAGUGACGGUAAUGGGUAAAGAAGCACCGGCUAACUACGUG